rnacentral:rRNA from 1 species
CAUGCAGUCGGACGGUAACAGAUACUUCGGUAUGCUGACGAGUGGCGAACGGGUGAGUAAUAUAUAGUUCAUUUGCCUUUUAGAAAGGGAUAGCCAUUGGAAACGAUGAUUAAUACCUUAUAUUCCUAUUAUUGUAGUGAUAAUAGGGAAAUGCUUUAUUGUGCUAAAAGAUAAGACUAUACGGUAUCAGUUCGUUGGUGGGGUAAGAGCCUACCAAGACUAUGACGCCUAGCUGGUCUGAGAGGAUGAUCAGCCACACUGGAACUGAGACACGGUCCAGACUCCUACGGGAGGCAGCAGUGGGGAAUAUUGCACAAUGGAGGAAACUCUGAUGCAGCAACGCCGCGUGGAGGAUGACGCAUUUCGGUGUGUUUUUUCCUUUUAUAUGGGAAGAUAAUGACGGUACCAUAUGAAUAAGCACCGGCUAACUCCGUGCCAGCAGCCGCGGUGAUACGGAGGGUGCAAGCGUUACUCGGAAUCACUGGGCGUAAAGCGCAUGCAGGCGGUUUAAUAAGUUGGAAGUGAAAGCCUACGGCUCAACCGUAGAACUGCUUCCAAAGCUGUUAGACUAGAGUCUGGGAGGGGAAGAUGGAAUUAGUAGUGUAGGGGUAAAAUCCGUAGAGAUUACUAGGAAUACCAAAAGCGAAGGCGAUCUUCUGGAACAGUACUGACGCUGAGAUGCGAAAGCGUGGGGAGCAAACAGGAUUAGAUACCCUGGUAGUCCACGCAGUAAACGAUGAAUGUUAGUCGUUGGUAUCCUAGAGAUAUCAGUGAUGCAGUUAACACAUUAAA